GUUAAGUUGCAGGGUAUAGACCCGAAACCCGGUGAUCUAGCCAUGGGCAGGUUGAAGGUUGGGUAACACUAACUGGAGGACCGAACCGACUAAUGUUGAAAAAUUAGCGGAUGACCUGUGGCUGGGGGUGAAAGGCCAAUCAAACCGGGAGAUAGCUGGUUCUCCCCGAAAGCUAUUUAGGUAGCGCCUCGUGAAUUCAUCUCCGGGGGUAGAGCACUGUUUCGGCUAGGGGGCCAUCCCGGCUUACCAACCCGAUGCAAACUGCGAAUACCGGAGAAUGCUAUCACGGGAGACACACGGCGGGUGCUAACGUCCGUCGUGAAGAGGGAAACAACCCAGACCGCCAGCUAAGGUCCCAAAGUCAUGGUUAAGUGGGAAACGAUGUGGGAAGGCCCAGACAGCCAGGAUGUUGGCUUAGAAGCAGCCAUCAUUUAAAGAAAGCGUAAUAGCUCACUGGUCGAGUCGGCCUGCGCGGAAGAUGUAACGGGGCUAAACCAU
rnacentral:rRNA from 1 species